UUUUAUUAAUAGGUAUAGAUAUGAUCCGACCAUAUUGUUUUCUAUACACCCUGACAUAAUAUAAGGUAGUUGCUCCCAACUUUUACAAAAAGAACUCUCGAAGGAAUACAUAAAACAUUGUGGUCAUCAGUUGAUCAAGCUCUCCCCGCCAAAGACCAGAUCUCAUGCUCUUGUCGCGACAUCAUGAAGAUGUCACAAUGGCUCAUGGGUGGACAAUAGAGCCGCGAAUGCCAAUGCGGGUUGUCCAACAAUUUUGAGCUGCAACGCAAUGCAAAGGCUAGGGUCUCUACGUUUUCUCUCUCUGGCCACAUGUUUUGGUCUUCCACCCCAAUUUUGCUGUAGCUGGAAAGGAAAAAA
rnacentral:lncRNA from 1 species